rnacentral:tRNA from 1 species
UCCCUGGUGGUCCAGUGGUUAAGACUCUACAUUUCCAGUAUGGGGGUCCAGGGUUCGAUCCCUGGUCUGGGAA